UGGGGAAUAUUGGACAAUGGGGGGAACCCUGAUCCAGCCAUGCCGCGUGUGUGAAGAAGGCCUUAUGGUUGUAAAGCACUUUAAGCGAGGAGGAGGGUACUGGUAUUAAUACUACUGGAUAGUGGACGUUACUCGCAGAAUAAGCACCGGCUAACUCUGUGCCAGCAGCCGCGGUAAUACAGAGGGUGCGAGCGUUAAUCGGAUUUACUGGGCGUAAAGCGUGCGUAGGCGGCUGAUUAAGUCGGAUGUGAAAUCCCUGAGCUUAACUUAGGAAUUGCAUUCGAUACUGGUCAGCUAGAGUAUGGGAGAGGAUGGUAGAAUUCCAGGUGUAGCGGUGAAAUGCGUAGAGAUCUGGAGGAAUACCGAUGGCGAAGGCAGCCAUCUGGCCUAACACUGACGCUGAGGUACGAAAGCAUGGGGAGCAAACAGG
rnacentral:rRNA from 1 species